AUUGAACGCUGGCGGCAGGCCUAACACAUGCAAGUCGAGCGGGGCGGCGGCCGGGUGAGUAAUGCCUAGGAAUCUGCCUGGUUGUGGGGGAUAACGUCCGGAAACGGGCGCUAAUACCGCACACUAUCAGAUGGGCCUAGGUCGGAUUGGCUAGGUGGUGGGGUAAAUGCCUACGAAGGCGACGACGCGUAACUGGUCGGAGAGGAUGAUCAGUCACACGGGAAGUGAGACACGGUCCAGACUCUUACGGGAGGCAGCAGUGGGGAAUAUUAGACAAUGGGCGAAAGCCUGAUCCAGCCAUGCCGCGUGUGUGAAGAAGGUCUUCGGAUUGGAAAGCACUUUAAGUUGGGAGGCGUUACCCUCAGAAGAAGCACCGGCUAACUCCGUGCCAGCAGCCGCGGUAAUUC
rnacentral:rRNA from 1 species